UGAGGAAUAUUGCUCAAUGGGCGAAAGCCUGAAGCAGCAACGCCGCGUGCGCGAUGAAGGCCUUCGGGUCGUAAAGCGCUUUUGAGAGGGACGAGAUAGGACGGUACCUCUGGAAUAAGUCACGGCUAACUACGUGCCAGCAGCCGCGGUAAAACGUAGGUGGCAAGCGUUAUCCGGAUUCACUGGGCGUAAAGCGCGUGCAGGUGGCCUCGUAAGUUGGACGUUAAAUCUCCCGGCCUAACCGGGAGGGGUCGUUCAAUACUGCGGGGCUGGAGGGCAGAAGAGGGGGGUGGAAUUGCUGGUGUAGUGGUGAAAUGCGUAGAUAUCAGCAGGAACACCUGUGGCGAAAGCGGCCCCCUGGUCUGCUCCUGACACUCAGACGCGAAAGCUAGGGGAGUGAACGGG
rnacentral:rRNA from 1 species